rnacentral:lncRNA from 1 species
GCUAGAGAGAGGGCCACAGAGAGAGAGAGAGGGAGGGCUAUAGAGGGAGAGAGAGAGAGGGAGGUCUAGAGGGAGAGAGAGAGGGAGGGAUGUGUGUAGAGAGAGAGAGAGAGAGAGAGAGAGAGAGAGAGGGAUGUGUGGAGAGAGAGGGUAGGAACGGAGUCUUCAGUAAGGAGAUUCUUCAGAACAGGACGAAGGCAGCUGGCCGUUCCUCUUCCUCUUCUUCAUCCUCUUCCAUCUUGCCUGGAGCCGCCCCUCCUCUCCCGUCCCACAGCAGGUCUAUACAUGGUCAUGGAGUAGGAUCUUCUCCUCGUCACAAAUCAAGCGGAGACGGCCCUGGGCGAGCGUGCACUGCCAGGAGCAGAAGAGAGCGAGAAGACCAAGGACCAUGGUGGAGGGACAGAGGCUUGGAGUAGAGAGCGAGAGACAUUAAAAGCAGAACAAGACGACCUAGAAGCAGCAAAAUAGCAGGCAGGAGGAGCGAAAGAGAGACAUCCAUAGUCUACAGAGAGAGAGAGAUAGAGGGAGAGAGACAUCCGUAGUCUACAUAGAGAGCGAGAGAUAUUAGAGGGAGAGAGAGAGAGACAUCACUGUCUACAGAUAGAGGGAGAGAGUGAGGGGCAGUAGGGUCGUUAUGUCUAUCCUCCUACUUCAUGGACCAUCAUCCCAUUUGUAUACGAUUGCAGAAAGCUGACGUGUUUGCCUCAAAGAAAGAGAGAGUGAGAGGGAAAGAGAGAUUCAUAGAGAGAAAACGAGAGAGAGACAUCCAUUGCCUUCAGAAAGAGGGAGAGAAUUCACGUUUAACAUUUGAGAUCCGUGAGGAAGAUGAUGUGUGUUCUUCUGGUCGUCCGUGAUUGGACAGAUCAUCCAUGGUUCUUGUACAUGUGAGGUCAUGUAUGAUGACAUGUGUACGAUGCACACCAGGGUCGCUAGGGAAACCAGGGUUACAUAGCAGGUCUAGCUACCAGGUGGAACCCGCUCCGAUUACUACCUUAGUAAUCUAAGGUUGUAUGAGUAGUUAUAGUUAGUCACUCCGUAGUUAGAUCUUUAGUCACUGCAUUAGUUAGUUGUCCUAGUUAAUUAUAGUUUGCUCUAGUUAGUUGUUGGUUGUAGUUGGUCUCCUUGGAUUAGAGCUGGUUAGUCUACUGAGCUGAGAUGAUAGGGACAUUAGAUCUUCUACACUACAUGUGGUCCACAGAAGGUCUCCUAACACUCUAGCAGACAGACAGACAGACAGACAGACGGACAGACAGACAGACAGACAGCGCUCUCCUUCACCAUGAGGUCCAACCCCUGUGCUCCCUGGAGCAGCGCAGCACUCGAGGUUCAGCAGUAAAGAGCUGCUGGAGAGGACCCUCCACCCGAAGACGCCUCUCGCCCGGCCUCAGCUCUCCAGUCCGGCA